AAAGCAUUUGCAACAUGUUUUCUUCCAGUAGUUAUAACAUGUUAAAUUACAGUAAAAUUCCUAAUAAAUGCCAUUCCACUAAAGACCCCCAGGCUUUUUGAUAUGGACAAAAUCUACUCAUCAGUGCUGAACUCAAGAGUAGAUCCAUAAUUUAUUCGAAUCAUUCUAAAUCCAUUUUAUUUUAUAGUAAACACAAAAAUAUAUCAUAUGAACUUUAAAACCUUCACACUUUUUAUUGUUAUCGUAAUUACGAAAAAAUGUUUGGAGGGAACUUGUUGCAAUAAUAGCCCCCUUUUGGAAAAUGUUUAGCCCCUAAGGGCAAUUAAUAGGAAUUUAACUGUAAGUCAAACAAAACUACAAGGGUUUUUUUGUCACAAAAACAAAUGUCUCCAAUGUAUGUACUCUAAGGAUGAAAUUAACAGCAGCAUGUAAAUUCAAACAGAGGUUUGACCUGUGAAAAUCAGACAAUAUUUUUUUCUAUUUUUUAGCACCGGUGGCCAUUUUGUGCAGUGAAGCAGAAUUGCAGGCGAUAUACACAACGGUUGGUACUGAUCUCUCGUGUGAAAAUUCCUCAAACUCCCUGCUGCAAUUUGACCUGUGCAAGUCUGACAAAAAAUUUCUAUUUUUAGCUCUGGCAGCUAUUUUGUGUUGCGAAGCUGAUAUGUCGGCCAAAUGCACAACUAGGGUUGGUACAGUUCACUUCAGUUUAGUUUCGUCAAAACCUCCUGCAGUUUGACCUGUUAAAGCUGAACAAGGUUUUCUAUUCUUAGCUCUGGUGUCCAAUUUUUGCAGUGAGGCAAUAUGCACAACUAGGGUUGGUACUGAUCACUCUUGUGAGUUUUGUUGAAAUCCCACCAGCCAGAUAAGUUUAAUGUGGAUGGACGGACAGUGAAGGCAAAACUGGCAGACAUUAUGCUAAGCUAUUACAAAAAUAUCUCUAUUUCAAAUGAGAUAAGUAAGCCGAGAAAAAUUAUAUAUUUACAUUUAAGAAUAUUAAGAUUUAUUCUGUAGCACUAGUAGAAUGGUAAUUACUGCUUGGCACAUGCUACAUUAGUACACAACAGAACCUAGUUUACUGAUGUAGGCCACCAGCCAAUAACAUAAAUACAAUCUUUAUAAACCAAACAUACAAUACAGUGUUUGGAUAAAUUUAAAUCUAUGCAUAAUAACAAUUAUCAAAAUUGUUGAAAAUACAAUGAUGAUAGAUUACAACAAAUGUAUAUAUAUGUAUAUAUAUGAAAUUUUCAAAUCUAUAACUGAAUUAUAAUCUUUUCUUUUUUCUUUUUUUUUAAUGUUGCAUGGAAUAUAUACAUUGCUAAAAUUUUGAACAGUUUUAUAUUUAUAGGAUAUCAAGAUAUUUAAUUUAUUAGCUGUGACAUCAAUAUAAUAUUUUCUGGCAAUAUAAUAACAAGAGGGCCAUGAUGGCCCUGAAGUCGCUCACCUGUAUAUAGGCCCCCCGGAGCGGGGCAAGUUUAAACCCAAGGGCCUUUAUUUGAAUAAACUUGGUAGACACCCAUUAGAAGAUGUUUCAUGCUAAACAUCUAAGGUCUAGCUUGUUGGGUUUUUAAAAAAAAGAUUUUUUAAGUUUUUUCUUUACACAUAUACUAGUAUUUAAAAACAAUGACACUCCUGGGGCAGGGCCAGUUUUGACCCCAGGGCUUUUAUUUGAACAAUCUUUGUAGACAUUUACUAGAAGAUGUUUCAUGCUUAAUAUCUAAACUCUAGCUAUUCGGGUUAUUUCCAAGAAGAUUUUAAAGUUUUGCUAUACACAUAUAAGGAAAAUGAAUGUCCCCCUGGGCGGGGCCUAUUUUGACCCCAGGGCUCUUAGUUGAACAAACUUGGUAGACAUCCAUUAGAACAUGUUUCAUGCUAAAUAUCUUAGCUCUAGCUCUUUGGGUUCUUUAAAAGAAGAUUUUUAAGUUUUUACUAUAUUCAUAUAGGGAAAAUCAAUGACCCCCUGGGGCGGG